rnacentral:rRNA from 1 species
UGAGGAAUAUUGGGCGAUGCCCGCAAGGGUGACCCAGCAACGCCGCGUGGAGGAUGAAUGUCGUAAGAUUGUAAACUCCUGUUAGAGGGGAAGAAUAGUACCGGUUGGACCGGUAUAUGACUGUACCCUCAGAGAAAGCCCCGGCUAGCUACGUGCCAGCAGCCGCGGUAAUACGUAGGGGGCAAGCGUUGUCCGGAUUUACUGGGUGUAAAGGGCGCGCAGGCGGGAUAAAAAGUCAGUGGUGAAAUCCUACAGCUUAACUGUAGAACUGCCUUUGAUACUUUUAUUCUUGAGUUCGGGAGAGAGAGACGGAAUUCCAGGUGUAGUGGUGAAAUACGUAGAUAUCUGGAAGAACACCAGUUGCGAAGGCGGUCUCUUGGUCCGACACUGACGCUGAGGCGCGAAAGCGUGGGGAGCAAACA